rnacentral:rRNA from 1 species
CACGUAGGGUGCAAGCGUUGUCCGGAAUUAUUGGGCGUAAAGCGCGUGUAGGCGGCUUGUCAAGCCGGGCGUGAAAUCCCUCAGCUCAACUGGGGAACUGCGUCCGAUACUGGAUGGCUCGAGUUUGGGAGAGGGAUGCGGAAUUCCAGGUGUAGCGGUGAAAUGCGUAGAUAUGUGGAGGAACACCGAUGGCGAAGGCAGCCCCCUGGGGUAACACUGACGCUCAUGCACGAAAGCGUGGGGAGCAAACAGG